CACGUAGGGUGCGAGCGUUGUCCGGAAUUAUUGGGCGUAAAGAGCUCGUAGGCGGUGUGUCGCGUCGGCCGUGAAAAACCUGCAGCUUAACUGUGGGCUUGCGGUCGAUACGGGCAUCACUGGAGUUCGGCAGGGGGAGACUGGAAUUCCUGGUGUAGCGGUGAAAUGCGCAGAUAUCAGGAGGAACACCGGUGGCGAAGGCGGGUCUCUGGGCCGAUACUGACGCUGAGGAGCGAAAGCGUGGGGAGCGAACAGGA
rnacentral:rRNA from 1 species